CUUCAAUCGGAAAGUAUGUUGUUAAGUUUUUUAGGAACAAGAUACAGGAACUUCGCUUAUAUCGUAUGAGCUAUUUUGUUGUCGGACCAAAUAAUUUGAAGUUGAGGACUACGACACACAACUUGAGGCUGACAUUUACACAAAAGACAUUUGUUGAGGAAACAACUGAUCCUGGAUUUCAUAUGAACAUCUUUAACUUGCGUCCUUUUGACCAACUAACAAAUCAAUAUGAUGUCGAUGAGACAGAAUUAUUCGAUGUUAUUGGCCAGGUUGUGACCUAUGAAGAUGUUAAGACCUACAAACAAGGAGACGACCAAAGUGUCUUUAUUAAUGUUGUACUCGAGGAUGAUCAGUAAUUACUCAGUGCGUAGCUGUUAGUAUCAGACAAAGAUAUGGAUUAAUCCUACGCUGCCGCAAUCAACUGAGUUUAAAUCCAGAUUCCUGGCAGUACGUCAAUCAAACUUUGAGCGGAUCACUUAGACAAGUUCACAGCAAAGUUACUCUGUUAGAGAUGAGUUAGACAAAGGAAUUAUACUGUUUAAAAUUAUUAGGGAUUUAGUUCAGUGUACGUAGGAUUGUAGCUAUUGGAUUGCGGCAAAAUUGGUGAAUUUGGAACUUGACCAAGGAUGGUCAUACUUGGCAUGCAACAAGUGUACUAGAAAGGUUGAC